CCCUCAUCGAGCCUCAUUCUCAGCCACAUCGUAAGGAUUUAGAGGCCCUAAGCACUGACGACGCUGUGGUGCCACAAAAAUAGACAAGCAGGGCAUGUGCGCUGAAGCUGGAAGAGGCUUCUUCCAUAUUUUCAUUGCAAAAUCAGAACUUUGGUGAGUUUUUUAAAAAUGUUUUAAAAUGUUUGCGCCCCUGUUUUGCUGAUGCCCCUGGGAAUCCCAGCACGGCCUUUUCACCGACUGCUGCUUCUCAGUCUUCAUGAGAGCCCAGAGCUCUGUGCUCGGCUCUUUCCUGUCCUCCCGGGCUGGCCUUGUGCUUUCGUGACUGGGUCAGGCUCCUGGGCUCUGUGUCUGAUGCAAUCAGUGCCACCUGAAUGCCUGGGCGGCCUCAGCAUACGGGAGUAGACCGGGCGGGGCCCUCGCGUGUGACACCAUGGCUGUUUCAGAUCCACCGCAAACCCCCCGCCCCAGUGCUGCCCCCGGUCCCCUCACACUCUGGAAAGAUUUGCCGGAGCCACUCUGUCCUUUUCUUUAGUGCAGCUGCUGGCUGAUAAACCUGCUCCUGCUCUCUCUAAGGCAAGGCCAAGCACAGCUCCUUUCCCCUAGGGCAUGUGCCUUUGCACUGCCCGAGGCUGCUCCUUGGUCCCAAGUCCACAGUACUUUGCUUCUCAGGACAGUUUUCCAUUCUCAGGUAAGCACUCAGGGGAGCUCUCCCAGUGGCACAGUUCCAGGUCCACCUGAAUCCUUUCAGGAAGGACCUCGUCCCUCUGAAUGCUGGUGAUCACAUUUCAACACAAUUUAUGAAGUGCACCUCGUAGGAAAAACUUAGAAAGCCUUUCCAGAUCCACCAGGCAUAGGCACCCUUCUUUCUUUGCUUCAAAGAAACAAAGAUGGCAUUUAAGCAUGACAUUUAAACUCUUUGGGGUCUACUCUAGAGAAUUCCUCAUUGUUCUGGGUCAUCACCCAGGUAUCCAGGAGAUACACAUAUUGUUAAACUUCCGUUUGUUUUUCUCUUGUUAGUUUGCCUUUUGUUACAGAGAGACUCCCAGCUAGGAACCCAUGAAGUUGGAGGUUUAUGGGAAUGUCUAGAUAUAUUUAUAAAUCAUAAAAUUGUUAUUUUGCUACUCAACUUGUUCAGGAGAAGCAACAGUGUUGCAGAAAGAGGCCCAGAGUGGGGACAGCAAUCCCAAUUCUGCAACCAAUGGGCUCUGUCACUGUGGGGCCUUUCCAUGCCUCUGCCUCCUCAUCUGAAAAUGAGCGGGUUGGAUAGAUUUUUCACUACUGUUCCUUUAAGUUCUACCAUGCGGAGGUUUUUUACAUUGCUACCUUCUUAUGUGACAUAGUUUUGCAAUUAAGAACUCUCAAGUUCCUCUUUGCAGUUGGUAUUUGAGAUGUUAAGAAUGGAAACGCUGAUUCCCCUCAGACCCGCUUUGCAGAUAACCCUGCAUUUUACCGAGAUGUCAAAGCAGGAAGUGCUUGGCUGGAACAUCUGCCGACAGCCUCAUCUCUUUCUGCAAGAUCAUGAUGUUCUGCAUGCUCCUGUGGCCUCUUAUUUCACGUUGCUCUCCCUGCAAAUUUUGAAACAACUUUAAAGAUGAAUAAAAAGCAGCUCAGCAAGUGAAUCCCAGAUCCCGGGCCAAACUCCGACGCCCACGAGCUCGCUCAGAAUUGGCUCAGGCUGCAAUCACUUCUCUUCUCCUACCUCCACACCAUUCCCUGAUGGUGGACAGCUUCUCCUUUGAGAACCACACCUGCCUUUUCAGACAAAAGGAGACACCACCCACCCUCCUGCUGAGGGCUGCUCCCCUGGGGCCUUCUCAGCACACCUCUCUCUCUCUAGGUCAAAAAACAAAUUUCACAUGCUGAAUUUUUACCUUUUUUAAAGUGACUCCGAAUUUUGGCACCAGCAAUUAAUUCAACACUUGAAUAAGAUUUGAAAACCUCACAACAAAUCACAAAUAUAUUAUGGGUCCUGUU
rnacentral:lncRNA from 1 species